rnacentral:rRNA from 1 species
CAAAUUGAGUUUGAUCCUGGCUCAGGACGAACGCUGGCGGCGUGCUUAACACAUGCAAGUCGAACGGUAAGGCGCCUUUUGGUGUACACGAGUGGCGAACGGGUGAGUAACACGUGAGGAACGUGCCCUUGACUUUGGUAUAGCACUUGGAAACAGGUGGUAAUCCCGAAUAUUCAGUUUCCCGGGCAUCUGGGGGGUUGGAAAGCUUUUGCGGUCAGGGAUCGUCUCGCGGCCUAUCAGCUUGUUGGUGGGGUAGUGGCCUACCAAGGCUUUGACGGGUAGCCGGCCUGAGAGGGCGACCGGCCACAUUGGGACUGAGAUACGGCCCAGACUCCUACGGGAGGCAGCAGUGGGGAAUAUUGCACAAUGGGCGGAAGCCUGAUGCAGCAACGCCGCGUGCGGGAUGACGGCCUUCGGGUUGUAAACCGCUUUCACCCAUGACGAAGCUUUUGUGACGGUAGUGGGGGAAGAAGCACCGGCCAACUACGUGCCAGCAGCCGCGGUGAUACGUAGGGUGCGAGCGUUGUCCGGAAUUAUUGGGCGUAAAGAGCUUGUAGGCGGUUGAUCGCGUCGAUAGUGAAAUCCCGGGGCUUAACUUCGGGCUUGCUUUCGAUACGGGUUGACUUGAGGAAGGUAGGGGAGAAUGGAAUUCCCGGUGGAGCGGUGGAAUGCGCAGAUAUCGGGAGGAACACCAGUGGCGAAGGCGGUUCUCUGGACCUUUCCUGACGCUGAGAAGCGAAAGCGUGGGGAGCAAACAGGCUUAGAUACCCUGGUAGUCCACGCUGUAAACGGUGGGUACUAGGUGUGGGUCACAUUCCACGUGGUCCGUGCCGUAGCUAUACGCAUUAAGUACCCCGCCUGGGGAGUACGGCCGCAAGGCUAAAACUCAAAGGAAUUAACGGGGCCCCGCACAAGCGGCGGAGCAUGCGGAUUAAUUCGAUGCAAAACGAAGAACCUUACCUGGGUUUGACAUGUGCAARGAAGCAUUCAGAGAUGGG